GACGAACGCUGGCGGCGUGCUUAACACAUGCAAGUCGAACGGAAAGGCCCUGCUUUUGUGGGGUGCUCGAGUGGCGAACGGGUGAGUAACACGUGAGUAACCUGCCCUUGACUUUGGGAUAACUUCAGGAAACUGGGGCUAAUACCGGAUAGGAGCUCCUGCUGCAUGGUGGGGGUUGGAAAGUUUCGGCGGUUGGGGCUGGACUCGCGGCUUAUCAGCUUGUUGGUGGGGUAGGGGCUUACCAAGGCUUUGACGGGUAGCCGGCCUGAGAGGGUGACCGGGCACAUUGGGACUGAGAUACGGCGCAGACUGCUACGGGAGGCAGAAGUGGGGAACAUUGCACAAUGGGCGGAAGCCUGAUGCAGCAACGCCGCGUGCGGGAUGCCGGCCUUCGGGUUGUAAACCGAUUUCGCCGGUGCUGAAGCGUGAGUGACGGUAAUGGGUAAAGAAGCACCGGCUAACUACGUG
rnacentral:rRNA from 1 species